GUGUCCAAAUUUGUGUGUACUGCUCAGUGUCUGCCUUCUUGCCGAUACGUGUUGUCUGCGGAAGGUCAGACCGUAAAGGGAAACGAGGUCGAGUUGUCAGUGGAUGAAGACCUUCAAUCUAUCACUCUCAAGUGUGAUGCACAAAACAUUGUCUCAAAGAAGAUAAUUACAGCUGUGAAAACUAUACAAGUAAAAGGGUUUGGGAAAAUAGGACCCCGCAACCCGUCCACUCGUCCUACAGAAACUUCAGCUGUGCUGCUGCUGGCCUUUAUCAUUUCUACUGUCUUCACAUUGUGAUUUGAUUGCAGACAGGUUCUGCUAAUGAAUUUUGAAGAAAAUUGAUUUGUGGGAAAUUGAGUCAUGUACCUGUAAUCUCCUGCAGCAUAUUGUUCUUAUCUAUUUGUCCCACAUGUUGACAGUGGGUUGGACCCUAUAUGUACUUUGUUAUAAGUGAUGUGAAGCGGUACUUUAAUAUCAAGAUAUACAGGAGGGAGUGUGUGCAUUGAAACAUCAGAAUUUGUCGACAUAAUGUGAGAGAAUGAUUUUGUAUGUGUCAGCUGCAUUAUUCAAAUUAUUUUUGAAAUGUAAAUGUCCAUACAUGAAUAAAAUGCACU